ACGAUGAUGUUGGUGUCGCGCAUUAGACUUGUGUUUAAAUAGAGCUUUGCUCGUGAACCAAAUAUGGUGGGCUGGGUUGUCUUUGCGGAAACGCUUGGGCGACUUGUCUACGAAUUGUAAUCAUAAUAUGGGCGGCGGUGAAUCCUUUGCAGACGACUUGAAUGGGAACGGGGUACCUGUAAGUGGUAGAGUAGCCUUGUUGCUACGAUCCACUGAGGUUAAGCCCUUGUUCUAAAGAUUUGUUC
rnacentral:rRNA from 1 species